UACAGGGGGGGCAAGCGUUGUCCGGAAUCAUUGGGCGUAAAGCGCGUGUAGGCGGUUCGGUAAGUCUGCUGUGAAAGUCCAGGGCUCAACCCUGGGAUGCCGGUGGAUACUGUCGGACUAGAGUACGGAAGAGGCGAGUGGAAUUCCCGGUGUAGCGGUGAAAUGCGCAGAUAUCGGGAGGAACACCUAUGGCGAAGGCAGCUCGCUGGGACGUUACUGACGCUGAGACGCGAAAGCGUGGGGAGCAAACAGG
rnacentral:rRNA from 1 species